UAUGAUGUCUCAUUAAUCUGGACUUACUUAUAUAAGCAAAUGCAACAUGUAUAAUUCACAUUAUAUAAUUACAGCAGAAGAGAAUAUAAAUUCUCUUAUCCUGGAAACUUCUAAAUUAUGAUAGAAUUUUCUGUACUGUAAACUGCUCUUGGCUAAAAUCUUUUCAAAUACAUAAGCUGAAAAUUGUUUCACUCGCUGACCUGUGAGCCAAGUUCCCCAAAGCCUGAUGCAAAUUAAAAUGGCUGAGUUAUAAAUAUCUCUGAAAGUAGGUUUAUAAUGGAAACACAACCAGAUCUUUCACUACAGAAGUACUCUUGGGGGCUGUUAGGACAGUUUAUAGAGCUAUCAGCGCCAAACUAUAAGUUAAUGAGGAGGAGCAAUUGACUGUAAUAAAGCACCCCUAAACAAGAAGAGAGCAUUAAAAAAUGCCAGCACUAAAAAUUCCUUUUGGGCUUCCCAUUAGCUAUGUCCCUGUAUAAAGUUGCUUCUUUCAUCAUUCUGGAAUAUAUUGCCAUGACUUCUUACAUUUUCAUGUGCUGAAUUCGGUACGUACACUUUUAUAGGCCUGGGGAAGAGGUGUGUGUGAAACUUAAAGUCAGAAGGCAGUUGUCAAAAAGCAAUUUACUAUUCUCCUCUCUUCUCAGCCUUACCUCUGUUCUCUUUAUUAUUACGUGACUGGGAAUGCACCGUAGGAUGACAGCAAGAUAAAAUUAGAUAUGGCUCCAUUUGACUUUUGCACCUUUUCACAUCAAUCUAUUCUCGCAAGUUUUAUUGUUAACAUUUGAACGUAGCAGAGAGUACAGGUGCCUAUGGCAGGCAAUCAGUGCUUGAGAGAGCUGCACAUAAAGACAAGACUUAGUUAAUGCUAGGAUAUAAGGGGAAUGUACAUGAGGGAGAGAAACAAUUGCUGUUAUUCUAGGCAUAAGAAUACAUCACUAAGUAAAUUUAAUGUAUGUUAUGACAGUCAUUAUAAAGACAGCAUUCACCGCAGAAGAGAUAACAGAAAUAUUCUUCUCAUUUCAGGGAUGACUGGUGAUGGUGUAGAGUGAUCAGAUUUUUUUCUCUUUUCCAGCCAGAAGUCAUUGUACUCGUUUUAGAAAAGGAGAGCUUCAGAGGUGCUUGCCAAGAUAUGUAGUGCUCUAUGUCUGCAUUUAUGGGAAACCCGUUAACUUGGUCUUUCAUCAGUGUGACUGCUCUCAUUCUGCACUGCACUGGAGGACUUGCUGACACAGCCAGAGAUUGCUCUGCACCCAUAUGGCUGCAAAAGUGGAACAUUGCUUUCUCUGGGAACAGUUAUAUUCAUAUGAUUGAGAAGAUUAAUUAACAUCUGUCCUGUGGUUUUAAGGAAGAAACUGACAGUCCAAAAAAAUGAAAGUGAAGUUGCGAUCUCAAGUAACUGGGAAUUCAAAUUCAGCAUCGCACAGUGGCAUAGCUGCUCUGUAGACAAUAAAGUAUUUGAAAGUCAUCUUUUCCUUGGCAUUUUGAAUAACAAGUUCAGUGAGAUAAAGCACAAUGAAGAUCUUUUGAAGAAGCAUCUGGAAUUCAUCUGUGUAAAGAAGCAACUAUUUCUUCUGUGGCUAGCUGGAGAUUUCAAAGUUUGAAGAUCUAAACAUCUCAAGGUCAGCCUGAAUUUGCUUGAGCAGAAAGCAUGCAUGGCUUGUUUGUGUGGUAUUUCUGUUCCACUAUUUUCAUGACUCUUAGUGUGGUGCAAUGGGAAAAGCUUUGGUUGAGUCUCAGAAACCAAGCCUAUAAAUCAGUAAGUCAAUCAACAAGUCUGGGGAACAAUAUGUUCUUCUAUUUUAAUUUCUUUGUGGGAAAUGUGUAAAUAGAUACUGGCAAUGAAGCUGGAAUAUAAUGGGUACUUAUAAAUUAAGGCAUCCAAUGAUUUAUCCUCUCUACGUGCAAUGUGAAAAGAGGUUAUGCUUUCUGAUCUGUUAAAACCCUAUUUUUAAAAUGAUAAAAUUUUAGUUUUUAAGGAUGAGAAUUACUGUCUGCUGACCAGUUUCCAAAAAUGUGGGAAGUUAGCAUACUGAGAAGAAAUUUAGGGACUCUUAGCAGAACAUUUCCACAUGCCAAUGCUUGCACAUUAUCAGAGACCUACUCAUGGCACUUAACACACCACACAACAUCAGGGCAGCCCAUCCUGGGCAGGGGUGGCACUUGUCACUACAGACUCAAUCUGUCCCUGUACAUCCCCCAGUGUUAGACUCUGUGUCUUUACCUAGGUGUUUCCCACUGUAGAAUCGGAUGAUGCCAGGCUUUCCUGUUUAACAGCAGUCUCUGGAGAUUGAUUAGUUAAUAUUUGCACAGAGCUGAUAAAGGUAGCCAUAAGCCAUACGGUGUGAAGCAUUUGCCAAAAGAAGGGGAAAAGGUUUGAAUUACUUUGUCCCUAUCCCUUUGCUGACGAGGUUUCACAAGCAUUUGAACGAUUGAGGAGUCUGUACAACUGAUCUCAAGCAGCUAAUUUAAGCCCCACUUACUGAAAUCCUUUCAAACAAAGCAAACAAAAUGUAUUAUAUGAUGAGAUUUCAUUAUGGAAAGCAACAGAAGUCAUUAAUAAAGUUACAUCAUUCGUUCCAGGAAAAUAGUGCAGACGUUGUGAUUUAGGAAGACCAAUCCUGUAUCAAAGAGUCUACUAAGUAUUUACUACAAACAGCUGACAAAUGGCAAUUCAUAGCUCAAAAAUGUCUACAAAAUUGCUUGCCAACAUAUUUUAAAUAAUUCUUUUACUUUUUUGCUGUUGUAAAAUAAGGCUACAUUACUGGAUGACUUGUAAAUGGGAGGAAAAAAAAACAUUUGGGAAACCAAUUGUUUGCAAACAGUAGUCUAUCCUGGCCUAAGGACUUGACUUUUAAGGUGUAUUUGGGCAGGCAGACCAUAAAUGGAAUUUUCAAAUGCUUCUAAAUAUCUAAAUGAGGUUCCUAUGAAUUUUUAAAAUCACAUUUCUGCCUAUCCAAAUCUUGGCAUGCUUAAAUGCCUUUAAAAGCUGACCCCACGUUUUUGCAACAUGAAAGGCAUUAUCUGAAGGCCCAUUUCCACCGCAAGAGGCAACUGCUAUUACUGUACCACAGCAAUGUCCCUCAGAUGAGGUCAACCAGAGAAAGUCAACACAACUAAGGAGUACAGAAACAGAGAGGGAGUUGUGCUAAUUCAGGCUAUCUCCUACCUUAUCACUAGAAGACCAUUAGGUUGAGUGUUUUCCCAUCUUCAACCCAUUCUUUUGAACUGUAAGCCAGCUUAAACUUAAACACGGCCUCAGUUGUGCAGGAGAAAGGAUCUGGAGAAGGAUGACAAGGAGUGAGGAAGUUUCAAUUGACACGUAUUAACAGCUACAUGUCGAGGCAUGAUUUAGUACUUGAAUUUCAAUUUAAGACAUGGAGCCCAUCCAUCUACUUCUGUAAAGAUAUAUGGUAUUUCUAAAAAUAUAAUUCCUGAUGAAGCUAGCUGGAGAGUAUGUCCUAAGUUCAGUCACAGAUGUAAAGACUUAAUACUGGUUUUUGAACAUGAGAGACGCCUUUUCCUUUUCAAAAAUAUGGUGACCAGAUGUGUCAAUAAUCACUCUAAACCCAGUUAUGGAAGUGCGUAAUUCAAUCCUCAUUUGAGUUCCAGCAGGUUUAUCUAAAAACCAAGUUAUGAAUCAAUAAAUAUACCAGCGGAUUACAAGCUGUUUAUUUGUACCUGUAAAAUAAGUUACAGCUAUAAUAAUUGGAGAUGGAUCUAAGAGCUGGGCUAGAACCACUGGUGAAAGAAAUGUUCUCUAGAAAACAAGACAGUGUUCAUCUUCCCCUGGGAACACAGUGAUUAAUUGAAAUUCACAAUAAAGAGAUGUGAAAAAAGCUAACAACAUAUAAACAAAAACCACCAUAAACACCACACUCAAGAGAAAUCUAGCUAGCUCCAAACCCUGCUGCUGAUAAUUCAAAAAGUGUAGCCAUUAAUUUAAAACAAGUAUCUUUGAUGAGUUUUCUGAAUUUUUCUUGUCAGUUUUCCAAAUGUUGUUCUUGAAAAUACCUACUAUUUAAAACACUGUUAGGUUAGGAACAAUCUUUAUAUAUGCAUUUAUAUUUUUAUACGAGGAGCUUUAGAAUUAAAAAACACACAGCAUCACAUUGGGGGAGUUCAUGUGGGGAGGGUAGUAUUCAUAUCAUCUAAACAGGCUGUUUUCCUGCCCAAGAUGGUCCAUUCUGUUUAUUGCAAUGACUUAAAAACUUAGAAUAAAGUCCCAGCAAAAAAAAAAAAAUCACUGUACAUGAAUUUAAAAAUGAACUUUCUGCCUAAAAUUUAGUACUCCAGCAAACACUUCUUUCGCUUAAUUCAGUUGAUGAAAUAUUUCUAUAAUACAAACACAGUCAGAUGCAAAAUCAGAUCAUGCAGAUUAUGUUAAAAACAUAGCUGAAUUAUUAAUAUCAGAGCAUUUGAUCAGCUACUUCAUCACAUUUUUUCAGAGCAACAAAGUCUGGCCUUACACCUGCAAAAACAGGCAGCUGCACAAGGUGUCUCCUUGCACUGAAAUUACUUUCCAGCUGCUUUGUCAACAAAGUGGCUCCCCCUAGGCAAGUCUUUCUUGCCCUUGAAAGAGUUGAAAGAUUCGUUCUGCUCCAUAAAUAUGAUCAAUGUGUAGUGGGACAGAUUUACUGCAUCUCAGUCUUUUUCUAAUCUCUUCCCACAAUAUCAUCAUUGCCCUCUGUUGCAAGAAAUUUCUAGAACAAUUGUGUGAAGCUGGGAACACCAAGGACUGCCCCUUUGCUCUCCGGCAAACUAGGGGAUGCUCCUUGGCAUCUUUGAGGAGGCAGUCUGGGGAAUUAGUGCAGCAGGUGUCAGUGACUGGCCUAGGGGUCUCUGCACAAGCUGCUCAGGAAGCAGCAUCCACAGAUGCCAACGUUGUCAAGGCCUUCAGACAACACAGCAACAACGACAGCCACGUAAUUGUCAGCCACUGGGGGAAGACUUGGAAGGCAGACAAAGUCACAGAAUUCCCAUUGCUUUUUCUAAUCCUGUGCUUCCUGGAUUAACCAAGCUUCCUCCGCUGAAACCAGUGUUUGUCAGUGAAUUUGUUGCUUCUCAUUCACAGCAGUAGCUGUUGCACUAUCUGGAAUCAAUCAGCAUAAAAGUGCUAUUUUUUCUAACGUGGAUUCCUUGUUUUUAGUUUCUGCUAUGAUAGAUACCUUUUGAAGGUCAAACAAAGCAUAUAAAUGUGAAGGUAUAUUGGGUGCAGUUGAAAUGCUCUAAGAAACCUUUUAAUUACUGCCCUUAGAGUAGGAGAGACAGUGAAAAACAUCUAGUGUAAACAGAGCUUGGAAGAGAAUAUGAGAAGGAUGCUGAAGACCAAAUUAUCCAACAAAACUCCAGCUACCUAAAUAGAAUCAAACCUCAAUGAUUUCCACGUCAUUAAUUAUGUUGGAAGAUGUCAUGCUGGAUUGAACUACAGAACUUCAUAGACAAAUCUUUUUCUACUUCUUUCUUUUCUUAUUUUUUUAAAUUUCUUGGACUGUUCCAAAGGAUCUUCAGAUUCCAAAUGAAACUGCUACUUUAAACUGCUACUUAUUAACAAAACCUGAGAACUUUCAAAGGUAUUUUUCAGGGAGUUCUUUUUCUUCAUAUCCACCUACUCAUCUUCUUUGUGCAGGUGUUCACUGUUGAGAAGGACAUGUAACUGCUUGGCUAGAAAUCAAAACAAGAGCUCUGCCACUGAAAGACAUCCCUUUUGGAUACUCUCUGUGUUGUAUGUUCUACUGCAAGCAAACUAAACAAUGUCAAAAUGUGUGUGUUAAGUUCUUCUUAAUAUAACAGGCUGAUCUAUGUCAACUAUGUCCAAUAUGUAAGAGGGCCAUGCUAAUAUAUGCAUUGAAGUCAGAGAGGAGUUCUUGAAAGAAAAGAAAGAAAGAAAGAAAGAAAGAAAGAAAGAGAGAAAGAAAGAAAGAAAGAAAGAAAGAAAGAAAAGGUUAGCAUCUUUUCUGAACAGAGGUCAUAAAAUAAUUAUAGACUUAAAAUGAAACUAUUCAUGUUUCAGUAGUAAAUCAAAACAGAUAGGUAGAUAUUUUCCCAGACAAACGUACAACAGGACUAAUGAAGUCUGACAGGAUGAGUGGUAACCGCGGCUCUAUGUUUGGCAGCAUUGUGUUUGAGUUUACCCAGUCAAGAGCUGAGACAAGAGCAGUUCUGAAAAGGGACAGCCAGAAACCCAGACAUAUAAAACCCUGACAGACAUAAGUUACUAAAUUAAAAUGGAAGGUUAAGAAAUUGUUCGAUUUCCUUCAGCAGGCUGUAUCAUAUCUAUACUGAAGUAAUGUGCAAUACAAAUUUCUGAUUCUUUUUUUAGCUUACAUACGUAAUGCCAUUUACUAAUAGAUUAUAAUAGAUUAAUAACAUAUGGAAGAAAAUCUUCUGGAAGAAACUUUGAAGGCCAACCUUCAGCUGUCAGCUGUUGUGCAUGUUUUUCAGUCCUUAGAUCUUAUUGGAAAGGAAGCCUCUUCAAUUUAUUUCAAACUAUGUCCCAGAAACAACAGCCACAUUUCAGGAAGUGCCAAGCUCUUGGCUGGUGACCCUGUGCUGUUUUGUCCUCAUAUACAUCUCAUUUUUACUGACAGACAAGGGGGAAAAACAGAAUAUCUGUAUGUAGUUCAGCAAGGAGAAACAAGUCUCCCAUAUGUUUGGAUUUAUGUGAUUAUAAAAUGUCACUUUAGUUUGUUAGCUCUGAACACCAGUUUUAGGUAUUAUCAGCAAUGAGUUGACCAACCUGAUGACAAAAUGACUUCAUCGUUAAGUAGUAUGUCUUUGUACCGGUAAUACUAAUUAUAACAAUCAUAGUAAUGCAAUUGUCAGAAAAAUGGGUAAUUUGUGAAUUAAUAUCUUGGUAAACCUUGCUCUUUUGAUUCUCCAUUAGGUGACAACUAAUGGCCUUGAACUUAUAAUUGUACAUUUGUUCUGAAUUAAUAAUAUCUGAUCUCACUAGUCACAAUGAUUUUAUUGACAGUAUCCAAAUCACAAAAUCAAUUUUGCUUCUCUUAGGUAAAGAGUUCAUUUAAUUAAAGUCAGCAUUUAACAAGAGGGAAACAUUAACACAUUAUGUGGCAGUUAUCUGUUUUAUAAUUGCAUUAAACAACAUACCUUCAUCUGUACACUUUCCUGUGUCGUAAAAAAAAAUUACAACACCAGCAUUGUAUUACAAGGUUUAUAUUUUUGAUUGCUUCACUUUGUCAUUUGAAUAUUUGUAUGUAUUAACAGAAAAUAGUGUUUGCAGGAGGAACAAAUAUAGAUAUAAAUCACAAAGAGAAGGCAUCUCUGUGAACAUAGCAGAGUGAUGAGGAUUCAGCAAAGCAUAGUCGUCUAAUUGCUUUAUUUACAUAGACAUAGAUGUUCACAACAAAGCAUCAGUUGUACUGGAAACUUCUCUGUGAAUGCAGUUAGAGUUAGAUGAAGGUGGGCUGAAACUGUACUCUGGAAACAGCUAUCAGAUGCAAAUGAACCACAAAGUUGUUUCUAUAUUGUCUCAAGGACCUAAAAAAUAGAGUAGCUCAACUAUAGCUAAGAAAAAGAGAGGACAGAAUCUGAAUAAAACACUCUCUGCAAGAUUCUCAUUAGACAUAAAAUAUCACUGAAGAUUAUUAAAAUUACAUUCAAUAAAAGAGCAGCUGCAGUUCCACCUAAAGCAGACAACAAUGCCUGUGUCUGCUAUCAGCCACUGGUUUCCCCACUAAUUACAGCAAUCUCCCCUUGUAGUGCUCCCUGGACUUGUGCCACUCCCCAUCUGCCACGUUUCUGGCCAUGUGCCCCUCAUCCCAGCAGCAGCUUCAUCUGAAGCCUGGCAUAUCAUGGAGGUGUCCAGUGACUGCACUUCACUACACAAAAACAAGGCAGGGAAUUAAAAGAUAUAGAUGGACAGCGGGGAAAAAUGUAUAGUAAAAGCAGAAAUUUCCUAGGAAAUGCAUGAGGCCAAAAACCAGCACUCUGGGUCUAUCUCCUUACCUGUUGCUGGG
ensembl:lncRNA